GCCCAGGUGGUGAAAUUGGUAGACACGCCAGCUUGAGGGGCUGGUGAUCGCAAGGUUGUGCAAGUUCGAGUCUUGUCCUGGGCACUA
rnacentral:tRNA from 2 species